CCUACGGGAGGCAGCAGUGGGGAAUUUUGCGCAAUGGGGGAAACCCUGACGCAGCAACGCCGCGUGGAGGAUGAAGCCCUUUGGGGCGUAAACUCCUUUCGAUCGGGACGAUUAUGACGGUACCGGAAGAAGAAGCCCCGGCUAACUUCGUGCCAGCAGCCGCGGUAAU
rnacentral:rRNA from 1 species